GCAGUGGUGGUUCAGUGGUAGAAUUCUUGCCUUCCAUGUAGGAGACCUAGGUUUGAUUCCUGGCCAGUGCG
rnacentral:tRNA from 1 species